GUAGGUGGCAAGCGUUGUCCGGAAUUAUAGGGCGUAAAGCGCGCGCAGGUGGUUCUUUAAGUCUGAUGUGAAAGCCCCCGGGCUCAACCGGGGAGGGUCAUUGGAAACUGGGGAACUUGAGUGCAGGAGAGGAAAGUGGAAUUCCACGUGUAGCGGUGAAAUGCGUAGAUAUGUGGAGGAACACCAGUGGCGAAGGCGACUUUCUGGCCUGUAACUGACACUGAGGCGCGAAAGCGUGGGGAGCAAACAGGAUUAGAUACCCUGGUAGUCCACGCCGUAAACGAUGAGUGCUAAGUGUUGGGGGGUUUCCGCCCCUCAGUGCUGCAGCUAACGCAUUAAGCACUCCGCCUGGGGAGUACGGUCGCAAGACUG
rnacentral:rRNA from 1 species